GACGAACGCUGGCGGCGUGCUUAACACAUGCAAGUCGAACGAAGUGGCGAACGGGUGAGUAACGCGUAAUCAACCUGCCCUUCAGCGGGGGACACCAGUUGGAAACGACUGCUCAUACCGCAUACUGAAGGAGGGGAUUGCGUCUGAUUCGCUAGUUGGAGGGGUAACGGCCCACCAAGGCGAUGAUCAGUAGCCGGUCUUAGAGGAUGGACGGCCAAAUUGGGACUGAGACACGGCCCAGACUCCUACGGGAGGCAGCCGUGGGGAAUCUUCCGCAAUGGACGAAAGGCUGACGGAGCAACGCCGCGGGAGUGGUGACGGCCUUCGGGUUGUAAAUCUCUGUUAAUCGGGACGCGGUACCGGAAUAGAAAGCCACGGCUAACUACGUGCCAGCAGCCGCGGUAAUUC
rnacentral:rRNA from 1 species